UGAUAAUUAGUUUAAUUAAAAUAAAUGAUUUCGGCUCAUUAGAUUAUGGUUCAGUUCAUAAUUAUCAU
rnacentral:tRNA from 1 species